rnacentral:rRNA from 1 species
GGUUAAAAAGCUCGUAGUUGGAUUUCUGUCGAUGAGUGUCAGUCCGCCCACAGUGGUUGGUACCUGAUGCGCCAUCGGCAUCUUCCUGGGGAAUGUGUCUGCUCUUUAUUGAGUGGUACAUAAACCAGGACUUUUACUUUGAAGAAAUGAGAGUGUUUCAAGCAGGCAUGCGCCGUGAAUACGUUAGCAUGGGAUAAUAGCAUCGGACCUCGUUCCAAAGCUGUUGGUUUCUUGGAUCGAGGUAAAGGUGAAUAGGGAUUGUUGGGGGCAUUCGUAUUUGACUGUCAGAGGUGAAAUU